rnacentral:rRNA from 1 species
AUGGCCGUACCAUGCUGAAUAUACCGGUUCUCGUUAGAUCACCGAAGUUAAGCAUCAUUGGGCGCGGUCAGUACUUGGGUGGGUGACCACCUGGGAACACCGCGUGCCGUU